ensembl:snRNA U6 U6 spliceosomal RNA
GUUCUCUCCAGCAGCGCAUAUACUAGAACUGGAACUAAAACUGGAAGGAUACAGAGAAGACGAGCGUGGCUCCCACGCAAGGAUGACACAGCAAAUUGGUGAAGUGUUCCAUACUUUU